GCUGAACUCAUUUACAUUUUCACUGAAAGUUCAUAAAUGUGCCUUUUUCUCCACAACCUCAGGAGCAUCUGCUGUGUUUGGACUUUUUCACAGUAGCCAUUCCAGCUAGUGUGAGAUGGUAUCUCAUUGUGGUUUUGAGUUGCAAUUCUCUGAUGAAGAGGGAUGUGGAGCAUUUUUUCAUAUGUUCGUUGGUCACUUCUAUGUCUUCUUCUGAGAAGUGUUUGUUCAUGCCUUUGCCAACUCUAUAAUAGAGUUAGCUUGUUCUUAUUUUUCCAGUUCUUCUAGAUGUGACAUCAGAUAGUUAAUUUGAGAUCUUUCUAACUUUGGAGGUAGGCUUCUCGACAUUUCCUCUUAACACUCUUUUUUGCUGCAUCUCAGAGAGUGUGGUAUGUUGUGUCUCUCCUUUCAUUUAUUUCAAAUAAUAUUUUGAUUUUGCCCUUAAAUUGAUUGUCUACCACCAAAUCUUUCUGGGGAAAGUUGUUUAAAUUGGGUGUAGUUUUGUGGUUUUGAGAGAUCUUUUUGAUGUGCUACUGGAUUCAUUUCUAUUGCUGCUGGGAUUAACUUCCAUUUUUAUUCCACUGUACUCUGAGAGUAUGGCUGGUAUGAUUUUGAUUUUUUAAAAUAACUUAAAUUUUUUUUAAUCUAUUAAAUCACCAAGUCCUGGAACAGGUUGUGUUAGCCCUUGAGGCAUUCAUCCAGCACUGUUUCAGAGAAAUCUCCAUUUCACUCUAUUCCUAUAUAUUAGUUAUUAAAAAAUACAUAAACCAGACUACUGCAAAAACAAGUUGACCUCUUUGUGUUCCUUGAACACAGUAGUGAAGGACCCCCCUGACUGGGCCUCAUGCCAAACAACUCAUUACAAAAAGAGCUAGAGACUCAGACUACGGGAAAGCAUCACAAGUCCUCUCCUUGUCUGUACACGGAUGGCUGGCCGAUUCUGGAGCCCAGGCUGUCGCUUCCCGCUGUGGUGAUGAAUCAGUCCUUCAUAGUCCGGGAAUAUACAGCCUCAUGAGCCAGACAGAGAGGAAGCAAAUCAAUUAACACACCAACAAAUUCUUCAGUCACUUGAAAACUAGGAAAUAGUGAUGUAUGCUGAUCAGGGAAUACUGUGGAGUGAACAAGAGAAUCAGGACAGCUGGUUGAGAUCAUCUGGAAAGUUGUUUCUGAGAUCUAAAUGAUAAGAAGCAAUCUGUGGCAUGAAUGUCAUAGGAAAGAGUGUCUCUGGCUGGAAAUACCUCCUAGCGUGAAGCCCCUCUGGCAGAAGUGCAAAAGUCCACACAUAACAAAAGACACCGUGGAUGAGUUUGGUGGCCAGCUCAAGGAUGCUGUGGAAUGAAGUGGGGGCAGUAGCCAGGGGCAGACCGUGGCAAGGAGGUAGAGUUUACAUUCCAUUGGGAAGCCUCUGAAAGUGGGCCAGGCAUGGUGGCUCAGCCUGUAAUCCCAACACUUUGAGAGGCCAAGACAGGCGGAUCACAAGGUCAGGAGAUCGAGACCAUCUUGGUUAACAUGGUGAAACCCCAUCUCUACUGAAAAGAAAUACAAAAAAUUAAUCAGGUGUAAUAGUAUGCCCCUUUAGUCAGAGGUUGGAGUGAGCCAAGAUCAUGCCACUGCAUUCCCGCCUGGGUGAUAGAGUGAGACUCUGUCUCAAAAAAAAUAAAAAAAUAAGUAAGUGAAAAAGUUAUAAAUGAUAAACCAGGCUAUGGCAGAGAAAAAUCGUAUAGUAUAGGAGAUCAAGAAAGGAAGUAAAUAAACUGGCUAGGUGGCUAUUGCUGUGAUCCAGGUGAAACAGCAUAGGAAAACUGCUAACACAAUGAGGCAGCGGGGAAAAGUGGGAGAAUCCACAGUAUGAUUUGGAAGUAGUGUUGCCAUCUAUGGUCGUGUGCUAUGACGAUGCCAAACAUCAAAGAUGAACCACAUAUACAAGGAUGGCACUAUGAAAUUACAAUGAAGGUAAAAAACUCUAUUGCCUAGUGACAUCCUGACUGUGGUAAGAUAGCAUAAAACAUUACGCAUAAAGCAUUACUCACAUAUUUGGGGACAUGCUGGUGUGGAGAAAUCCACUGUGUGACCAGUUGUAUAAAAUCAUAGCAGAAACAAUGAUGCACAAUACAUAAUACUUGAUAAUUGUAAUAAACGACUAUGUUACUGGUUUUGUAUUCACUAUAUUGUACUUCUAUUAUUGUUUUAAAGUUUACUUCUACUUUAAAAAAAAGUUAACUGUGAAACAUCUUCAGGCAGUUCCUUCAGGAGGUGUCUAGAGAAGGCAUUGUUAUCACAGGAGAUGACAGCUCUAUGCAUGUUAUUUCCCAUGAAGACCUCCCAGUUGGGCAAGAUGUGGAGGUGGAAGAUGCUGAUAUUGACAAUGCUGACCUGUGUAGGCCUAGGCUAGUGUGUGUUUCUGCCUUAGG
ensembl:lncRNA